UGACGAGCCCAACAAUGAACCUGAUAAAGAAUUCUGUAUCCAGAGAUGACAUCACUUCCUUUGCACAUACUUCCUGUUUUGGGAACUUCCUUUUUCCUGUUUCAGGUGCAGCACAUGGCAGAGCCUUCAUAUGUUGUCUGAAAGUAAAUCUGCUGCCAUCCACUAUGAAACAUCAAGAAGGAAAUGCUAUGUCUAGCAGCUGUCAUGGAUCAAGUGUUAUCCUGCAAAUGAAACCCUAGACUGGCCAUGCAUAUAAAGAACCAGAACGACAACCUGCUUCAUGCAAAGUAAGAGAAAUAAGAACACUUGACCAGGGAGGAGGGAGAGCCACCCAGCGGUCUUUAAACGCUGCUUUGAUUAAACGUUUCUUUGAUGAAUGAAAAAAGAAGAGGAGCUCCAGUCUUCAACAAUUUAUGAAAGUGAAACUGAAAGGGAAAGACCAUCUAACCAUCAGUUCAGCUAACCUAAUAAACAUUUGAUGAAGAGGAAUUUGGAGAACAAGCAACGAUUAUAAACCCAGAUUCAAAUAGUUAUGAACAACCCAAUACUAAUGACAAGACAUCAUACUUCAGUGAUAAUAAAUAAUGAAGGUAGUAAAGAAAAGGAUAAUUAUGACCUCUGGCAGAAACCUUUGUCAGAUUCUGAAUCUGAAAGUGAGACCAGUGACAAUAACCGUGAUGGAAACGGGGCAUCCGAGUCCAUAUUAAACAGUCGUGUGAGAUGCUCCGAGUGUGGUAAAUUUAUGCAAAAGAGUUAUAUUAAGAGACACAUGAGGUUUCACUCUGAAGAAAAACCAUUUAGCUGUGAUAUUUGUAGGAAGGGGUUUUUAUUUAAGUCAAGUUUAAAAAUUCACAAGGGAAGCCACACAGGAGAAAAACCGUUUGGCUGCGAUGUUUGUGGAAAAUGGUUUAAAAAGCAAUCACAUGUUAAAGAGCAUUUAAGAACCCACAGUGGAGAGAAACCCUUUGGCUGUGAUCUUUGUGGAAAAAUGUUCAACCAAGUCUCCAAUCUCAAAAGACACAAAAACGUCCACACUAUUAUAAAACUAUAUGACUGUGAUGUUUGUGGAAAAAAAUUGAGCUCUAGCACAAGUUUAAAACGACAUCUUAGAAUCCACACUGGAGAGAAACCAUUUAGCUGUGAUGUUUGUGGAAAAAGGUUUGACCGAAAGACAUGUUUCUCAAAACAUGUCAAAGUUCACAAAAACUACCCAAGUUGGAAAGUAUAUACAGACACAUUAAAUGGUGACUGAUUGUUUUAAAAUGUAUAAACUGUGUAGGUUAUUGCAUUUCUAAUGCUGGGCUCACACCAAACUAUUUUCAUGAUCGCACACUAUAUAAGG